UACGGGGGGGGUAAGCGUUGUUCGGAAUUACUGGGCGUAAAGGGCUCGUAGGCGGCCAACUAAGUCAGACGUGAAAUCCCUCAGCUUAACUGGGGAACUGCGUCUGAUACUGGAUGGCUUGGAUUCGGGAGAGGAAUGCGGAAUUCCAGGUGUAGCGGUGAAAUGCGUAGAUAUCUGGAGGAACACCGGUGGCGAAGGCGGCCCGCUGGGCAGUGGCUGACGCUGAGGCGCGACAGCGUGGGGAGCAAACAGG
rnacentral:rRNA from 1 species